GAUGAACGCUAGCGGCAGGCCUAAUACAUGCAAGACGAACGGUAAGUUGAGUAGCAAUACUUAGCCAAGAGUGUCGUACGGGUGCGUAACACGUAUGCAACCUACCCUAUACAGGAGGAUAGCCUAGGGAAACCUGGAUUAACCCUUCAUAGUAUUAUUGGAUGGCAUCAUUUGAUAAUUAAAACUGAGGUGGUAUAGGAUGGGCAUGCGUCUGAUUAGUUAGUUGGCGGGGUAAUGGCCCACCAAGACGAUGAUCAGUAGGGGUUCUGAGAGGAAGAUCCCCCACACUGGCACUGGGAUACGGGCCAGACUCCUACGGGAGCAGCAGUAGGGAAUAUUGGUCAAUGGAUGCAAGUCUGAACCAGCCAUGCCGCGUGCAGGAAGAAGGCCUUCUGGGUUGUAAACUGCUUUUGCCAGGGGAUAAAUUUCCAUGCGUGGAAACUGAAGGUACCUGGUGAAUAAGCACCGGCUAACUACGUGCCAGCAGCCGCGGUAAU
rnacentral:rRNA from 1 species